rnacentral:snRNA from 1 species
GUGCUCGCUUGGGCAGCACAUAUGCUAAAAUUGGAACGAUACAGAGAAGAUUAGCAUGGCCCCUGCACAAGGAUGACGCACAAAUUCGUGAAGCGUUCCAUAUUUUU